rnacentral:rRNA from 1 species
CGAAAGGGGCUAGCGUUGUUCGGAAUUACUGGGCGUAAAGCGCAUGUAGACGGCUUGGCAAGUCGAGGGUGAAAUCCUGGAGCUCAACUCCAGAACUGCCUUCGAUACUGCUUGGCUGGAGUAUGGAAGAGGUAGGUGGAACUGCGAGUGUAGAGGUGAAAUUCGUAGAUAUUCGCAAGAACACCAGUGGCGAAGGCGGCCUACUGGUCCAUCACUGACGCUGAGAUGCGAAAGCGUGGAGAGCAAACAGGAUUAGAUACCCUGGUAGUCCACGCCAUAAACGAUGAGAGCUAGCUAUUGGAGGGUUUACUCUUCAGUAGCGCAGAUAACUCGAUAAGCUCUCCGCCUGGGGAGUACGGUCGCAAGAUUA